rnacentral:rRNA from 1 species
UAAGACAGAGGAUGCAAACGUUGCUCGGAAUUACUGGGCGUAAAGCGCGCGCAGGCGGUCCCGUAAGUCGGGUGUGAAAGCCCCGGGCUCAACCCGGGAAGUGCACUCGAUACUGCGAGACUGGAGUACUGGAGAGGAGAGCGGAAUUCUCGGUGUAGAGGUGAAAUUCGUAGAUAUCGGGAGGAACACCAGCGGCGAAGGCGGCUCUCUGGACAGAUACUGACGCUGAGGCGCGAAAGCGUGGGAAGCAAACAGG